GACGAACGCUGACGGUGUGCUUUAGACAUGCAAGUCGAACGCGAAAGCCCUUCGGGGUUAGUAGAGUGGCGAACGGGUGAGUAACACGUGGGCAAUCUGCCCCUCGCAGGGGGACAACCGGAGGAAACUCCGGCUAAUACCCCGUACGCUUGCUGGACCGCAUGGUCCGGCAAGGAAAGGUAGCUUCGGCCAUCCGGCGAGGGAUGAGCCCGCGGUGCAUUAGCUAGUUGGUGGGGUAACGGCCCACCAAGGCAACGAUGCAUAGCUGGUCUGAGAGGAUGAUCAGCCACACUGGGACUGAGACACGGCCCAGACUCCUACGGGAGGCAGCAGUCGGGAAUCUUGCGCAAUGGGCGAAAGCCUGACGCAGCAACACCGUGUGAGCGACGAAGGCCU
rnacentral:rRNA from 1 species